AGAGUUUGAUCCUGGCUCAGGAUGAACGCUAGCGACAGGCUUAACACAUGCAAGUCGAGGGGCAGUGGGGAACUAGCAAUACUUCCGCCGGCGACCGGCGCACGGGUGAGUAACACGUAUGGAACCUGCCCGUAGCAGGGGGAUAAGCGGAAGAAAUUCCGUCUAAUACCGCGUAAUAACUCCGAGAGGCAUCUCAUGGAGUUUAAAGGGUAACACCGGCUACGGAUGGCCAUGCGGCGCAUUAGCUAGUUGGCGGGGUAACGGCCCACCAAGGCGACGAUGCGUAGGGGUUCUGAGAGGAAGGUCCCCCACACUGGUACUGAGACACGGACCAGACUCCUACGGGAGGCAGCAGUGAGGAAUAUUGGUCAAUGGGCGUGAGCCUGAACCAGCCAAGUCGCGUGAGGGAAGACGGUCCUAUGGAUUGUAAACCUCUUUUGUCGGGGAGCAAAAGACGUCACGUGUGGCGUUCCGAGAGUACCCGAAGAAAAAGCAUCGGCUAACUCCGUGCCAGCAGCCGCGGUAAUACGGAGGAUGCGAGCGUUAUCCGGAUUUAUUGGGUUUAAAGGGUGCGCAGGCGGAAGAUCAAGUCAGCGGUAAAAUUGAGAGGCUCAACCUCUUCGAGCCGUUGAAACUGGUUUUCUUGAGUGAGCGAGAAGUAUGCGGAAUGCGUGGUGUAGCGGUGAAAUGCAUAGAUAUCACGCAGAACUCCGAUUGCGAAGGCAGCAUACCGGCGCUCAACUGACGCUCAUGCACGAAAGUGUGGGUAUCGAACAGGAUUAGAUACCCUGGUAGUCCACACAGUAAACGAUGAAUACUAAUUGUUCGGGGAGAAUGAUCCCUGAGUGAUACAGCGAAAGCGUUAAGUAUUCCACCUGGGGAGUACGCCGGCAACGGUGAAACUCAAAGGAAUUGACGGGGGCCCGCACAAGCGGAGGAACAUGUGGUUUAAUUCGAUGAUACGCGAGGAACCUUACCCGGGCUCAAACGACACAGGAAUACUUUUGAAAGGAGGUAGCUCUACGGAGCCUGUGUCGAGGUGCUGCAUGGUUGUCGUCAGCUCGUGCCGUGAGGUGUCGGCUUAAGUGCCAUAACGAGCGCAACCCCCAUCGCCAGUUACCAGCAAGUCAAGUUGGGGACUCUGGCGAGACUGCCGGCGCAAGCUGUGAGGAAGGCGGGGAUGACGUCAAAUCAGCACGGCCCUUACGUCCGGGGCGACACACGUGUUACAGUGGCAGGUACAGAGAGAAGCAAUGCGGCGACGCAAAGCGGAACUUGAAAGCCUGUCUCAGUUCGGAUUGGAGUCUGCAACUCGACUCCAUGAAGCUGGAUUCGCUAGUAAUCGCGCAUCAGCCAUGGCGCGGUGAAUACGUUCCCGGGCCUUGCACACACCGCCCGUCA
rnacentral:rRNA from 1 species